GAUGAACGCUGACCGAAUGCUUAACUCAUGCAAGUCUUUGGCGAAGCUGUGCUUGCACAGCCUAGCCAAGGCGGACGGGUGAGUAACGCGUAAGGAACUUGCCCUGCAGUCAGGGAUAACAGACGGAAACGACUGAUAAGACCUGGUAAAGUCAGGCGGACUCAUGUCCAGCCUGAUGAAAAGAGAUGCUGCAGGAGAGCCUUGCGUCCUAUUAGCUUGUUGGUGGGGUAACGGCCCACCAAGGCGAUGAUAGGUAGCCGGCCUGAGAGGGUGGACGGCCACAAGGGGACUGAGAUACGGCCCGUACUCCUACGGGAGGCAGCAGUGGGGAAUAUUGGACAAUGGGGGCAACCCUGAUCCAGCAAUGCUGUGUGCACGAUGAAGGUUUUCGGAUUGUAAAGUGCUUUCAGCAGGGAAGAAAAAAUGACGGUACCUGCAGAAGAAGCGACGGCUAAAUACGUG
rnacentral:rRNA from 1 species